UACGAGGGGAGCAAGCGUUGUUCGGAUUUACUGGGCGUAAAGGGCGCGUAGGCGGCCACGACAAGUCACUUGUGAAAUCUCCGGGCUUAACUCGGAACGGUCAAGUGAUACUGUCGGGCUAGAGUACAGAAGGGGCAACUGGAAUUCUCGGUGUAGCGGUGAAAUGCGUAGAUAUCGAGAGGAACACCUGCGGCGAAGGCGGGUUGCUGGGCUGAUACUGACGCUGAUGCGCGAAAGCGUGGGGAGCAAACAGG
rnacentral:rRNA from 1 species